CCUAAUGGCGGCAAAAUUGUUCCAUUUGACCAACAUGAUUUCAAUUUGAGAAAUGGUUCAACCUGCUUUUUUCCAAUACGAAUUUCACUGUCUUUUAAUUAACGAUAACAAAACAGAAUCUCGAAUGGGAUCUGGCAACUUUGAAGGAGCAGGGAAAUGAACACACAAAAGGUGCCUGUCCUCUUCCAGAGAAGGUGUUGGUGUUUGCAAGUUUUGAUUUAGCACGACAAUAAAAAUGUUUAAAAAAAAUGCUUCCUUGGACUUUUAU